UGGAUCCAGACUUUGAUCAUGGCUCAGGAUGAACGCUAGCUACAGGCUUAACACAUGCAAGUCGAGGGGAAACGACAUCGAAAGCUUGCUUUUGAUGGGCGUCGACCGGCGCACGGGUGAGUAACGCGUAUCCAACCUGCCCAUCACUUGGGGAUAAUCUUGCGAAAGUAAGACUAAUACCCAAUGAUAUCUCUAGAAGACAUCUGAAAGAGAUUAAAGAUUUAUCGGUGAUGGAUGGGGAUGCGUCUGAUUAGCUUGUUGGCGGGGUAACGGCCCACCAAGGCGACGAUCAGUAGGGGUUCUGAGAGGAAGGUCCCCCACAUUGGAACUGAGACACGGUCCAAACUCCUACGGGAGGCAGCAGUGAGGAAUAUUGGUCAAUGGACGAGAGUCUGAACCAGCCAAGUAGCGUGCAGGAUGACGGCCCUAUGGGUUGUAAACUGCUUUUAUAAGGGAAUAAAGUGAGAGUCGUGACUCUUUUUGCAUGUACCUUAUGAAUAAGGACCGGCUAAUUCCGUGCCAGCAGCCGCGGUAAUACGGAAGGUCCGGGCGUUAUCCGGAUUUAUUGGGUUUAAAGGGAGCGUAGGCCGGAGAUUAAGCGUGUUGUGAAAUGUAGACGCUCAACGUCUGCACUGCAGCGCGAACUGGUUUCCUUGAGUACGCACAAAGUGGGCGGAAUUCGUGGUGUAGCGGUGAAAUGCUUAGAUAUCACGAAGAACUCCGAUUGCGAAGGCAGCUCACUGGAGCGCAACUGACGCUGAAGCUCGAAAGUGCGGGUAUCGAACAGGAUUAGAUACCCUGGUAGUCCGCACGGUAAACGGUGGAUGCCCGCUGUUGGUCUGGAUAGGUCAGCGGCCAAGCGAAAGCAUUAAGCAUCCCACCUGGGGAGUACGCCGGCAACGGUGCAACUCAAAGG
rnacentral:rRNA from 1 species